AACUUCCCCUUUAAGCUAAAGAGUAAUCGAUACGUGAAAAUCCACGAUCGUUUCAGCCCUACAGUAAUGAGGUUCGCCCACUUGUGACUUGUCGUGUCAUGUCGAGCAUUGGUUGUAAGACUUACCACCUCACGCUCGCCGCUAGGCGCUGCAUAUAUCUGCUACCGUGGUAUUUCACUUUCAGGCAUGGUGGUGGCCUGGCACAAGCGAAGCUUCUGGUAGUGUCCCGUCGUAACGCGGACAUGCGAACUUUACUUUUACUUACUCAGUGAAGUUUACUCUGCUCAAAGCGCCUCGAGGCGUCGAGAUGAGUGAGUUUGGACGAUAGUAGUGUGGAGCUGGGGCGAGGCGGAGGACUGGACUAGAAGUAGAAGUAGAAGUCGCUUGUCGCUCUGAUCUGGUGCCGGCCUUACAUACGAAAGACCUGUAUCCCGACUCCGCCGUACCGCUGAUGUUUACGACGUGGCAUACGCUACAGGCGCUAUGUGCGGUUGGCUGUGUGCGCUGUAGUUGUAUGUUGUAUGUGUAUGCUUUUCUCAUAUACGCUGUCAUUUUCACGCUAUAACUACCUGGUGGUUUUAGUGUUAGUUAUUCAGUUAGUUUCAGUUGUUCAUUCAGUCAGUCAUUGUUCAGUGUUAUUAGUCGAUGGAAGUGAAAUAUACUGU